AUACGGAGGAUCCGAGCGUUAUCCGGAUUUAUUGGGUUUAAAGGGAGCGUAGGCGGGAUAUCAAGUCAGUUGUGAAAUGUAGAUGCUCAACAUCUGCACUGCAGUUGAAACUGGUGUUCUUGAGUGCGUAAGAGGUAGGCGGAAUUCGUCGUGUAGCGGUGAAAUGCAUAGAUAUGACGAAGAACUCCGAUUGCGAAGGCAGCUUACUGGGCCGCAACUGACGCUGAAGCUCGAAGAUGCGGGUAUCAAACAGGAUUAGAUACCCUGGUAGUCCGCACAGUAAACGAUGGAUACUCGCUGUCGGCGAUAUACAGUCGGUAGCCAAGCGAAAGCAUUAAGUAUCCCACCUGGGGAGUACGCCGGCAACGGUGAA
rnacentral:rRNA from 1 species